GCGCAGCAGGCGAGAAAGCGCGAUGAGGGAAUCCCAAGUGCUUGCACGUAAGUGUAAGCUGUUUCUCUGUCUAAAAGCAGAGAGAGUAAGGGCUGGGUAAGACGGGUGCCAGCCGCCGCGGUAAUACCUGCAGCUCAAGUGGUGGCCGCUAUUAUUGGGCCUAAAACGUCCGUAGCCGGGUCUAGUAAGUGCCUGGGGUAAAUUGUGAGGCUUAACCUUACGAAUUCCGGGUAGACUGCUAGACUUGAGACCGGGAGAGGCUAGAGGUACUCCUGGGGUAGAGGUGAAAUUCUGUAAUCCUAGGGGGACCACCAGUGGCGAAGGCGUCUAGCUAGAACGGGUCUGACGGUGAGGGACGAAGCCCUGGGGCGCAAAACCGGG
rnacentral:rRNA from 1 species